UGAAUACGAGAUGCUAAGGCGUCGAAGUAGUGUAUGUCAUACUUCCAAGAAAAGCUUGCACUGUCAUAAAUAGAAAAUGCCUGUACCUUAACCGACACAGGUGGGUAAGUAGAGUAUACUAAGGGGCGCGAGAUAACUCUCUCUAAGGAACUCGGCAAAAUAACUCCGUAACUUCGGGAGAAGGAGUGCCUUAUUCUUAAGGUUGCAAUAACAAGAUCCAAGCAACUGUUUAUCAAAAACACGGGUCUCCGCUAAGUCGUAAGACGAUGUAUGGGGGCUGACGCCUGCCCAGUGCCAGAAGGUUAAAGAAGUUGGUUAGCAAUUGCGAAGCUGGUAACUGAAGCCCUGGUGAACGGCGGCCGUAACAAUAACGGUCCUAAGGUAGCGAAAUUCCUUGUCGGGUAAGUUCCGACCCGCACGAAAGGCGUAAUGAUUUGGAUGCUGUCUCGGAGAGGGGCUCGGUGAAAUAGACUUGUCUGUGAAGAUGCGGACUACCUGCACCAGGUCAGAAAGACCCUAUGAAGCUUUACUGUAACUUGAAAUUGAAAUUGGACUUUAUUUGCGCAGUAUAGGUGGGAGGCGUUGAUUAUAAUCUUGCGGGAUUAUUGGAGCCAUCAGUGAGAUACCACUCUUGUAAUGUUAGAUUUCUAACUUUGAAUCAUUAUCUGGUCAAAGGACAAUUUCAGGCGGGCAGUUUGACUGGGGCGGUCGCCUCCUAAAUGGUAACGGAGGCGUACAAAGGUUUCCUCUGAACGGUUAGAAAUCGUAUCUAGAGUGUAAAGGCAUAAGGAAGCUUGACUGUGAGACCUACAAGUCGAGCAGGGACGAAAGUCGGUCUUAGUGAUCUGACGGUACUGAGUGGAAAGGCCGUCACUCAACGGAUAAAAGUUACUCUAAGGAUAACAGGCUGAUCUCCCCCAAGAGUUCACAUCGACGGGGAGGUUUGGCACCUCGAUGUCGGCUCAUCGCAUCCUGGGGCGGUAGUACGUCCCAAGGGUUGGGCUGUUCGUCCAUGAAAGCGGUACGCGAGCUGGGUUCAGAACGUCGUGAGACAGUUAGGUCCAUAUCCGGUGUAGGCGUUAGAAUAUUGAGAGGAGCCUUCUUUAGUACGAGAGGACCGAGAAGGACAUACCUCUGGUGUACCAGUUAUCGUGCCAACGGUAAACGCUGGGUAGCUAUGUAUGGAGUGGAUAACCGCUGAAAGCAUCUAAGUGGGAAGCCCACCUCAAGAUAAG
rnacentral:rRNA from 1 species